GGAUUAUUGGGCGUAAAGCGUCCGUAGGCGGUAAUUUAAGUCUGCCGUUAAAGACUACAGCUCAACUGUAGGAGAGCGGUGGAAACUGAAUUACUAGAGUGUGGUAGGGGUAGAGGGAAUUCCCAGUGUAGCGGUGAAAUGCGUAGAUAUUGGGAAGAACACCAGUGGCGAAGGCGCUCUACUGGGCCACAACUGACGCUGAGGGACGAAAGCUAGGGGAGCGAAAGGGAUUAGAUACCCCCUGUAGU
rnacentral:rRNA from 1 species